CCUACGGGGGGCAGCAGUGGGGAAUCUUGCGCAAUGGGCGAAAGCCUGACGCAGCAACGCCGCGUGCGGGAUGACGGCCCUCGGGUUGUAAACCGCUUUCAGUGGGGACGAAAUUGACGGUACCCACAGAAGAAGCCCCGGCCAACUACGUGCCAGCAGCCGCGGUAACACGUAGGGGGCGAGCGUUGUCCGGAUUCAUUGGGCGUAAAGAGCUCGUAGGCGGCUCAGCAAGUCAGGUGUGAAACCUCCGGGCUCAACCCGGAGACGCCACCUGAUACUGCUGUGGCUAGAGUCCAGUAGGGGAGCGUGGAAUUCCCGGUGUAGCGGUGAAAUGCGCAGAUAUCGGGAGGAACACCAGUGGCGAAGGCGGCGCUCUGGGCUGGAACUGACGCUGAGGAGCGAAAGCGUGGGGAGCGAACAGGAUUAGAUACCCUUGUAGU
rnacentral:rRNA from 1 species